UACGGGGGGGGCAAGCGUUGUUCGGAAUUACUGGGCGUAAAGGGCUCGUAGGCGGCCAACUAAGUCGGAUGUGAAAUCCCCAGGCUCAACUUGGGAACUGCAUCCGAUACUGGAUGGCUUGAAUUCGGGAGAGGGAUGCAGAAUUCCAGGUGUAGCGGUGAAAUGCGUAGAUAUCUGGAGGAACACCGGUGGCGAAGGCGGCAUCCUGGACCAAUUCUGACGCUGAGGAGCGAAAAGCCAGGGGAGCAAACGGG
rnacentral:rRNA from 1 species